rnacentral:lncRNA from 1 species
CGAGUCCCGCUACUUAGGGUUUCUUCUUGGCCGUGCCCUCGCUGGUGCUGAGCCACCACGGACCGUGAUGGAGGCCGUGGUAGCCACGAAAACCAUGCCAAAAUGACAUUCUUGAGGGUCAUGUGUUGAUGGUUCAACACGGCCAGAGUCCAGGCCGUGCUCAACCUCUAAAAAUAAGCCUUGAUGAAAUCUCGAUGCAAUCCUAUCCAUUCUUGCAUGUAUCGCUCUUAAAAUCAC